UUGAAUAGUCGCAGCAUGCACACAAAAUUAAGACAUUACAACAAGUGAUGAUGAGCGAACACCCACAAUAAACGAAAAUACAAAGAAAAGAGAGAUUCAAAUUCAACUUUAACGCUCAAUCAUGCAUUCAUUCAUUCAUAAAUGGUAAAUAUAAACUAACUAGACAAAGAGAGAAAUAUUCCACGAGAUGGAUACGAUCAUGUGCGUGCGAGUGCAGAAUUAAGAAGCCUGGACCCCGCUGAUUUGUUGCUGUCCGUAGUCCUUGAUCUCACGCGCCUUGUCCAUGAUCUUGUGACGCGCGCUGUCUAACUGAUCCGCGCCAGGUGGUUGCUUGCCGGUGACGUACCUGUAGAUCCACGCCAGCACCGUGAUCGCCGCCACACCGAACCCACUCGAGGCGAGGAACCCCAGGCUCAGGAGCGCAACGGUGAUUACGGCGGGGACGAGAACCGGACUGAAAAUGACGAACAGCGGGGUGACGAUGGUGAGGGCAAUGACGGUGGCGGCGAGGAUCAACGAGGCGAGGAUCAAGAGGGAGCCGCCCGCUGUGACGGCGGUGGCGGCCUUGACGACCUGGUGGGUGGAGGAACGGGUUUGUUGGUGUGGAUCGUUAGGGUAGCGGAGGGGGUAUUGGUGUUGUGGUUGGUAGUGAAGCUCAGCCAUAAUGUGUGGGAAUUAUGAAAAUGAAAGAGAAGAGUUUUGAGUGAAGAGUGAGUGAU
rnacentral:lncRNA from 1 species